CUUCCGUAAAACACAACUCCGCUAGUUUCCAUUCAGGUCUAGGAAGAAAACGGUCGACGAGCCUUUGGAGCCAGUCAUUCGCAGUAUUCUGAACAGGUAGCACACCAGGUUGCAACGCUGAAGAGUAUACACGCUCAGUAGAAUCGGUUAAAUUAAAAUGGCGAUUGAUCAACAAAUGGGACGGAGCAUUGUUGGAAAAGUCAUCGAGACGGCCCCAUCUCUCCUUUUCUCAGCUGUAGUGUACGGAGUACCUAUAGUGUACACUGCAGGCAUCGUAGCGGAAAUUGUUUUCACGACGUUUUUCAAACAGACCAAACGGGGUCGCCCAAGCGUCUCAAAGGCAGUCGAUAAACCUGAGGCUAAUAAUACAGCGCGCGCUCAAGGCACUUGUGGGGCAUUUUAAUCCGGGUAUCACGUUUACACUUAAACAGAGACACCAUGUAAAGUCCAAAACAAUUUUCAGACAUUUUUGUUCACUAUUAAAACAAAUGAAAUCGAAGAAAUAUACAUGCUGAUGCAGCAUGAUUCUAAUUUGCGAAAAA